rnacentral:tRNA from 1 species
GGGGUUGUGGCUCAGCGGUAGAUCGCAUGCCCAGCAUGCACGAGGCCCUGGGUUCAAUCCUCAGCACCACA